rnacentral:rRNA from 1 species
UACGAAGGGGGCUAGCGUUGUUCGGAAUUACUGGGCGUAAAGGGCGCGUAGGCGGUCCUGAUCGUCGGAUGUGAAAGGCCUGGGCUCAACCUGGGAACUGCAUCCGAUACGGCGGGACUGGAGUGUGGGAGAGGUUGGUGGAAUUCCCAGUGUAGAGGUGAAAUUCGUAGAUAUUGGGAAGAACACCGGUGGCGAAGGCGGCCAACUGGACCACAACUGACGCUGAGCGCGAAAGCGUGGGGAGCAAACAG